rnacentral:rRNA from 1 species
CCUACGGGAGGCAGCAGUGAGGAAUAUUGGUCAAUGGGCGAGAGCCUGAACCAGCCAAGUAGCGUGAAGGAUGACUGCCCUACGGGUUGUAAACUUCUUUUAUAAAGGAAUAAAGUGAUGCACGUGUGCCAUUUUGUAUGUACUUUAUGAAUAAGGAUCGGCUAACUCCGUGCCAGCAGCCGCGGUAAUACGGAGGAUCCAAGCGUUAUCCGGAUUUAUUGGGUUUAAAGGGAGCGUAGAUGGGUGGUUAAGUCAGUGGUGAAAGUUUGCGGCUCAACCGUAAAAUUGCAAUUGAUACUGGCCGGCUUGAGGAUAGUUGAGGUAGGCGGAAUGCGUGGUGUAGCGGUGAAAUGCUUAGAUAUCACGAAGAACUCCGAUUGCGAAGGCAGCUUACUAAACUGCCACUGACAUUGAGGCUCGAAAGUGUGGGGAGCAAACAGGAUUAGAUACCCUAGUAGUC